UAGGGAAUAUUGGGCAAUGGAGGCAACUCUGACCCAGCCAUGCCGCGUGCAGGAUGAAGGCGCUCAGCGUUGUAAACUGCUUUUAUCUGGGAAGAAAAGUACUUCUGCGGGAGUAUGUGACGGUACCAGAGGAAUAAGCACCGGCUAACUCCGUGCCAGCAGCCGCGGUAAUACGGAGGGUGCAAGCGUUGUCCGGAUUUAUUGGGUUUAAAGGGUGCGUAGGUGGUCAUUUAAGUCUGAUUUGAAAGCUGGUGGCUUAACCAUCAGAUGUGGUUGGAAACUGAAUGACUUGAAUGGGUUGGCGGUAGCCGGAACGGGUCAUGUAGCGGUGAAAUGCAUAGAUAUGACCCAGAACACCGAUUGCGAAGGCAGGCUACUACGACUUGAUUGACACUGAGGCACGAGAGCAUGGGUAGCGAACAG
rnacentral:rRNA from 1 species